AUAACCUAGCCAAUUGUCCAAGUUAGAAAUUUGUAUAGAUAAAUACUUUAGUAAAUCGAUAAGUUACUUAAGAAAGUCUCAAAUAGUAAAAACAAACAUUAGACGUUGUCAAGCAACUUAUCGACAUAGAUAAUUAAAAAUGGGUAUAAGAAGGAAACGUGCUAUACUUAAAGGGGACUUGCGUUUUCUUGCAUUCUACUCGUAUGCGUUUUGUCAGACUCGGGGUCGUUGGCGGUUCACAUAUGGUACAGUAACAUUGAAAAGUAAAUUGUUAUAAAAUAGGAAUGGCAUUGCUUUGUCCGGCGCUGUCUCGAGCAGUGAAAACACGGGCAUAGCGUGCGCGGUGCAGCGCGUCCGAGCUAUCUAGCGCUACGUCGGGGAAGGCACAACGGACGACACUGAACUUGAGGGAAUUGGACAAAAACUUGCCCAGUGGUCAAUCGGUUUUUUCAAGAAUGUCUUCAUCCUCAUGGCUACGUGAUCCAGAGGCCUUGGAUCUAGAAUGACAAAUGUGAAUACACUACGCCGCAAGUGUGUGUGGAGGAGGAGCGUGUGCAGUUACCUGUGCUAUCCGCAUAGCGCCGCGCAGCCCCGACUGGAUCUGCCCCAGGUGCACAACG